GCUUAGCCGUAAACCUAGAUGUUAAUUUUACAAAAACAUCCGCCAGGGUACUACAAGCGCCAGCUUAAAACCCAAAGGACUUGACGGUGUCUCAGACCCACCUAGAGGAGCCUGUUCUAGAACCGAUAAUCCACGUUAAACCUCACCACCCCUUGUCUUCCCCGCCUAUAUACCGCCGUCGCAAGCUUACCCUGUGAAGGAUAAACAGUAAGCAAAAUGGGUAUCUCCCAGAACGUCAGGUCGAGGUGUAGCUUACGGGGUGGAAAGAAAUGGGCUACAUUUUCUACACCAGAAUAUACGAAUGAUACUAUGAAAUUAGUACCUGAAGGUGGAUUUAGUAGUAAAAAUCAAAUAGAGAGUCAUUUUGAAAUUAGGCUCUGAGACGCGC
rnacentral:rRNA from 1 species